CCUCGAUGAACACGCUUUCUUGCCUCAUCUUUGUCAAAGUACUUUGCAGCGCCUUCCCCCUUCCCCAGAAUAUACCACCAUUCGUAAGGGACACUCGCAAGUUCGAGGAAGAAAUCUUUCCCUCUUGUCAUCCAAACCUGUAAGUUUCGUGGAGUUAGGUAUCACUUCUUCGUAAGGGACUCCGCUAAUUGGCAAACCACCUAGAAUAUGCAAGUCCCAAAGAGAUAUGGAUGUUUCUCCAAUAGAUGUAAGUAAUGUAUUUGUUUGAGGGCACCAAGCCUCACAAAAGACUUGUAUAAUAUUGGAGUUUCGAUCACAAGUAAAAAGAGAAGCAAAUACAAGCAUUGUUUAGACUUUGCCCAUUUUUGCUUAAGACAUCUUCUAUCCAUUCCCAGUAUCCCGGAAUGCAGUGUUAUUCACCUUCAAGCACAAUGUUGUCUCCCCAACGUAGUUUCUCUAGAAUCAUGCGACGACCUAAAUUUGAAAGAGUGCUCGCGAUGUUUGUACGUUGAGGAUUUGGUUUCUCAAGAUACCACGCUUUUUGAGGCUUUAUUAGAUUUGUGAUCGUAUUCAGAUGUCCAACUUCUCAUAUGAA
rnacentral:lncRNA from 1 species